CGGCGUGGAUAAGACAUGCAAGUCGAACGGGAGAAUUGCUAGCUUGCUAAUAAUUCUCUAGUGGCGCACGGGUGAGUAACACGUGAGUAACCUGCCUCUUAGUGGGGGAUAGCCCUGGGAAACCGGGAUUAAUACCGCAUACGAUUGAAAGAUCAAAGCAGCAAUGCGCUAGGAGAUGGGCUCGCGGCCUAUUAGUUAGUUGGUGAGGUAACGGCUCACCAAGGCGAUGACGGGUAGCCGGUCUGAGAGGAUGUCCGGCCACACUGGAACUGAGACACGGUCCAGACACCUACGGGUGGCAGCAGUCGAGAAUCAUUCACAAUGGGGGCAACCCUGAUGGUGCGACGCCGCGUGGGGGAAUGAAGGUCUUCGGAUUGUAAACCCCUGUCAUGUGGGAGCAAAUUAAAAAGAUAGUACCACAAGAGGAAGAGACGGCUAACUCUGUGCCAGCAGCCGCGGUAAUACAGAGGUCUCAAGCGUUGUUCGGAAUCACUGGGCGUAAAGCGUGCGUAGGCUGUUUCGUAAGUCGUGUGUGAAAGGCAGGGGCUCAACCCCUGGAUUGCACAUGAUACUGCGAGACUAGAGUAAUGGAGGGGGAACCGGAAUUCUCGGUGUAGCAGUGAAAUGCGUAGAUAUCGAGAGGAACACUCGUGGCGAAGGCGGGUUCCUGGACAUUAACUGACGCUGAGGCACGAAGGCCAGGGGAGCGAAAGGGAUUAGAUACCCCUGUAGUCCUGGCAGUAAACGGUGCACGCUUGGUGUGCGGGGAAUCGACCCCCUGCGUGCCGGAGCUAACGCGUUAAGCGUGCCGCCUGGGGAGUACGGUCGCAAGAUUAAAACUCGAAGAAAUUGACGGGGACCCGCACAAGCGGUGGAGUAUGUGGCUUAAUUCGAUGCAACGCGAAGAACCUUACCUGGGCUUGACAUGUAAUGAACAACAUGUGAAAGCAUGCGACUCUUCGGAGGCGUUACACAGGUGCUGCAUGGCCGUCGUCAGCUCGUGUCGUGAGAUGUUUGGUUAAGUCCAGCAACGAGCGCAACCCCUGUUGCCAGUUACCAGCACGUCAAGGUGGGGACUCUGGCGAGACUGCCCAGAUCAACUGGGAGGAAGGUGGGGACGACGUCAGGUCAGUAUGGCCCUUAUGCCCAGGGCUGCACACGUACUACAAUGCCCAGUACAGAGGGGGCCGAAGCCGCGAGGCGGAGGAAAUCCUGAAAACUGGGCCCAGUUCGGACUGUAGGCUGCAACCCGCCUACACGAAGCCGGAAUCGCUAGUAAUGGCGCAUCAGCUACGGCGCCGUGAAUACGUUCCCGGGUCUUGUACACACCGCCCGUCACAUCAUGGAAGCCGGUCGCACCCGAAGUAUCUGAAGCCAACCGCAAGGAGGCAGGGUCCUAAGGUGAGACUGGUAACUGGGAUGAAGUCAUAA
rnacentral:rRNA from 1 species